rnacentral:misc_RNA from 1 species
UCACUCCGAGUCAGAUGCAAACCAAGUGUCCUGAGUCGAGUCAAAUUUCUCAGUUCAGCAAUCCGACAGCCAUCUAAUUGGUUUGUUCUAGCAGGUCUAAACCCCAACAAAACUUCAAGGUUUGAAAGCCUUCCCAAGCCUUUUGGCAAGUACUCAAGUGAGCCACAGUGGCUUACAUCUAAGACUCUGAGCUUCUUAAAGGUCAUGAGAUAAGGAGGCAUCAUUUUGAGAUUCUGACAAUAGCUCACAUCCAAAACCUGAAGGUUGUUAAGUCUCUCUAGUGAAGGAGGGAGUUGGAUCAACGGAUGGGUAUUGCUUAAGCUAAGGCAUGUUAAAUGCUGAAGGCAACCAAUCUUAUGUAGGAGAACUGUGAGAGGCACUUCAAAGAUAGACUUGCAAAGAUCUAAAACUCUCAGGUAUCUACACUCAUUAAACUUGUUUGCAACGCUUGAUACAAUCUUGUUCACUUCACCAGUCUUGGUUGUGGACAACAAUGCUCGUAACUUUCGAUUGGCAGCCAGUUUCUUAUGAUCCAUAUUGCUAUCAAUCCCCAGAUGACGACAGCCUAUGCCAUUAAGUCUAAAGAAUGCAUCAUCUUCAGCCAUCUUGAUCACCAAAUCACGAACCAUAUCAUGAAUCUUGCAAGUGUAGAUAAUUCCAUUGUAAGUCUUGUCAACUACUUCCACCAAACAUCGAUUUGUUAACCCCGAGAAACAACCCUCCCCAGCUUCAAUUGCUGAUCUGCCAUUUCUCACGGGGACAAAUCCUUCUCCCAUCCACCAAUGAACUAACUGUUCCUUUGCUAUCACACAAUCCUCUGGGUAAAGAGAGAAACUGAGAAAACAAGACUUCAGGUGAGUAGGGAGCUCAUCGUAGCUCAAUUGUAAAGAAGCCAUCACAGAGUCAUCAUUUUCUGCCAAUUCAUCCCGAAAGUUCUUUGCAAUUCGCCUCCACUCAUUGUAAUGUGAUUUAUAAAGCAAAAGUCCUCCAAUUGCUUUAAUGGCCAAAGGAAGACCCUUACAUUUAGAUACAAUCUCCUUUCCAACCUGUUCUAGCUCAGGAUACCUGCAGUCACCUCCACUUGCUGCGAAAGCAAUCUUCCGAAAUAGCAACCAGCUAUCAUCCUCACUAAGGAACUUAGGUCUAUGGAUUCUUGCUUCGCUCACUCCCAUCAUUAUUGCAACUUCCUUGAUCCUUGUGGUGAUGAUAAUACAGCUUCCGUUUCCCUUGGGCAAGCCCUCAAAGAUUCUACGCCACCAAUUGACAUCAGAGUUCCAUACAUCAUCCAUAACAAUCAAGAACCUUUUACCUAAAAGAUAUUGGUUUAUUUUCUUCAACAAUUCACCUCGGUCAUCUCCUACGCUUGCAUCUCCCAAGUUCCUCAGCAUGCUUCUCAUGAUUUGUGCUUCAUCAAGUGUCUGAGAGACAGACACCCACAUUCUUCUUUCAAAAUGGUCUUCCAUUUCUCUGUCAUUAAAGACCUUUUGAGCAAUUGUGGUCUUGCCCAAUCCGCCCAUACCAACAACACCAAUUGAUAAUAUGCCAUGAUCUGCUUCAAAAAGCCAAUCCUUCNNNNGUCACCUUCUAAUCCAACCACUUGAGUAUGAUCAUAUACAGGAGAGCUCCAUCUUGGGUCAUUGUGCACAUCAAUUCUAGCCAUUCCGUUGCUAGUUGACAGACCAAGAUAUGAAAGGUCUUGCUUAAUUUUAGUGAUAUUCUCAUUUAUUUCCCUAAGUCGCUUUCCAGUUUUAUAUUGAAACUGAAGUUUUGGAGGAUGGAUACAACGUAGCCAGCCAUUAGAAAAUGAGUCAUCUCUUGAUUGAAGUUGGCAGUCUGCUAGUAUGUCUUCAGCUUCAUAUAUCAACUCUCGUAAAUUGCCCAUUAUAACGUGCAGAGUUUGUUCCUUCCUUUUUCGUUUGUCUGCAUCUUUGAGGACACUUUGCAUUAAUUCGAGCUCCUUCUGCAAGUUCUCAAAUUGAUCCCUAAAUUCAUUCACUAUGCGGCCCUCCUCUACUAGAGUAUCCA